UUUAUGAAGUUACCAAGUUAUUUUACAUAAGUUGGUGUUUUGUGUUUUCUAAUAAAAGAAAAGGCUCUUCCUUAAUAUUUUUUAUCAUUAAUUUUCUAAAAAUGCCUAUUUUCUUAAAUUUACAGCAUAAGAAUAUCUUUUUUCUACCUCAGAGGUAGCUUCUUAGCAUGGUCUGUCACAGAAUAUUUAAGGAUCAG